CUUUGCUAGGGUUAGGUUUCUUGGGCGAUUUGGAGGCGAACUAUGGGGACGAAGUUGUUUCGUCUACAUUCCAUUGGACUUUUCAACUUGGGUUAUUCUGGCUCUCCAUUUACUUGGAGAAGAGGAUUUCUUUUUCAAAGGCUAGAUCGUUAUUUGAGAAAUUCAACAUUUCUUAGUCAUUUUCCUGUAGUGAGAGGUUUGGAAUUAUGAGGAAGCUGGUACACCUUGGUUUGUCUUGUGGCAACUGCACAAAAAGAUGGCUACACAUCUUACUAAAUGGAAUUAUCAGAUUUUUGGCAAUGUUCAUCAAAAAGUGCUGCAAGUUCAAAAUUUUGUGGAUAAUUUGGAAGCUCAACUUAUUUGCUCACCUAGUUUGAUGAAAAUUGUUUCUAAGGCUCAUAUAUCUUUAAUGGAUGUUAUUGCUUUAGAAGAAAAUUUCCCUCAAUAGAAGACUAAUGACACUACUUUUGUUGUUGGGGAUCGUAACACCAAGUAUUU